CCUACGGGAGGCAGCAGUCGAGAAUCAUUCACAAUGGGGGAAACCCUGAUGGUGCGACGCCGCGUGGGGGAAUGAAGGUCUUCGGAUUGUAAACCCCUGUCAUGUGGGAGCAAAUUAAAAAGAUAGUACCACACGAGGAAGAGACGGCUAACUCUGUGCCAGCAGCCGCGGUAAUACAGAGGUCUCAAGCGUUGUUCGGAAUCACUGGGCGUAAAGCGUGCGUAGGCUGUUUCGUAAGUCGUGUGUGAAAGGCGCGGGCUCAACCCGCGGACGGCACAUGAUACUGCGAGACUAGAGUAAUGGAGGGGGAACCGGAAUUCGCGGUGUAGCAGUGAAAUGCGUAGAUAGCGAGAGGAACACUCGUGGCGAAGGCGGGUUCCUGGACAUUAACUGACGCUGAGGCACGAAGGCCAGGGGAGCGAAAGGGAUUAGAUACCCCAGUAGUC
rnacentral:rRNA from 1 species